AACCACUGGGGCUUUCUGGUUGGAGCUGAACUCCAUUGACUGGGAGGGAGACAAGGUUCUAGGAGGGGGAAUUCAAAUUCUCAAAACCCUUCUGCUUGUGUUACAGUCCAGCGGGCCCAGAAUAUUACCUCCUCCUCCCAUCAGCCAUUGGCAAACUCUGCCCUGAAGAAGAAGCUCCAGCACACCAGGGAACAGACCUUAACUGGCAUCCCAUCAGAUCCAGGAACUCUGCCAUUCCUCAGGACUUCAACUACAGUGAUGAGUUCUUCAACUGUUGGAACCAAUGUGACUGUGCGGAAAAUCAUCUAGUAAUUACCAACACCAUUUUUUCACUGAUCAAAUGAUGUCUGAGCGGAGAAGUUUAAGUAAACAGGAACAUAGGAAGCUUCAUCUUGGAUUCUAUUCAGCAAUCCUCUUGCAACAACAGACUUCAGAUUUCAAAAUUAAAAAAGAAUGUUGAUUGAA